AGCGUAGACGGCAUGGCAAGUCUGAUGUGAAAGGCCGGGGCUCAACCCCGGGACUGCAUUGGAAACUGUCAACCUAGAGUACCGGAGGGGUAAGUGGAAUUCCUAGUGUAGCGGUGAAAUGCGUAGAUAUUAGGAGGAACACCAGUGGCGAAGGCGGCCUGCUGGGCUUUAACUGACGCUGAGGCACGAAAGCGUGGGUAGCAAACGA
rnacentral:rRNA from 1 species